UCGUAUCUUUGUGGAGUCCAGAAAAACUCAGGAUUUGAUGUUUUCACUGCUGUUCAGCUGGAGGUCAAAGAAUCGUUCUGUCUGAAGUCGUACAACAUCAGUGGCAUCGAGGGACGUCCAGUAACUCUGCAGUGUCCUAAUUCAGGACAACAACAUGAUAACAGGAAGUUCCUCUGUAAAGGAGACCAACACAACAACUGCACAGACAUGAUGGAGAACCAAACAAAGUUCAAGCUGCUCAAUGUCUCCUCCAGCUGUUUCUCUGUGAUCAUCACUGAACUGGAAGCAGCUGAUGCAGGAACAUACUACUGUGGUUCAGACUCUCAGCUGAGAUUCAUAAAGAUACAGCUGGCAGUCGCACAUUAUGUUUUAUAUUUCCUCUGACAGUCUCUCUACAUCAAACCAGCUCUGUGGCUCCGACCAGUACUGGUGAACAGGUUACAUCACAGCCACCAUCACAUAAUCGUGAUGUUUCUUUAUUCUACAUUCUGCCUGCUGUCUUCGUUCUGCUUCUGAUCCUGACAUUUGUCCUUUUGCUGGUUUUAAAGUACAAAUCAAGGAUCAAGCAAGUGGAUGGAGUCAAUGUGAAUGUGUUGUACUCUGCUAACAGUAAUAAUGUGGAGAUGAGAAUCAAUGAUAUCUAUGAGUUACAUGAGGAUGUUGUUUACAUGAACUCUACCACUCCAAACACGUUGAGCCAUGAUGACAAUGAUGUCUACAACAACAUCUUUUAAAAGAGACCUACAGAAGUUAG